CUAUACAUGCAAGUCGAACGAACUUCCGUUAAUUGAUUAUGACGUACUUGUACUGAUUGAGAUUUUAACACGAAGUGAGUGGCGAACGGGUGAGUAACACGUGGGUAACCUGCCCAGAAGUAGGGGAUAACACCUGGAAACAGAUGCUAAUACCGUAUAACAGAGAAAACCGCAUGGUUUUCUUUUAAAAGAUGGCUCUGCUAUCACUUCUGGAUGGACCCGCGGCGUAUUAGCUAGUUGGUGAGGUAAAGGCUCACCAAGGCAGUGAUACGUAGCCGACCUGAGAGGGUAAUCGGCCACAUUGGGACUGAGACACGGCCCAGACUCCUACGGGAGGCAGCAGUAGGGAAUCUUCCACAAUGGACGCAAGUCUGAUGGAGCAACGCCGCGUGAGUGAAGAAGGGUUUCGGCUCGUAAAGCUCUGUUGUUAAAGAAGAACGUGGGUAAGAGUAACUGUUUACCCAGUGACGGUAUUUAACCAGAAAGCCACGGCUAACUACGUGCCAGCAGCCGCGGUAAUACGUAGGUGGCAAGCGUUAUCCGGAUUUAUUGGGCGUAAAGCGAGCGCAGGCGGUCUUUUAAGUCUAAUGUGAAAGCCUUCGGCUCAACCGAAGAAAUGCAUUGAAAACUGGGAGACUUGAGUGCAGAAGAGGACAGUGGAACUCCAUGUGUAGCGGUGAAAUGCGUAGAUAUAUGGAAGAACACCAGUGGCGAAGGCGGCUGUCUGGUCUGCAACUGACGCUGAGGCUCGAAAGCAUGGGUAGCGAACAGGAUUAGAUACCCUGGUAGUCCAUGCCGUAAACGAUGAUUACUAAGUGUUGGAGGGUUUCCGCCCUUCAGUGCUGCAGCUAACGCAUUAAG
rnacentral:rRNA from 1 species